rnacentral:rRNA from 1 species
AUUGAACGCUGGCGGCAGGCCUAACACAUGCAAGUCGAACGGUAACAGGAAACAGCUUGCUGUUUCGCUGACGAGUGGCGGACGGGUGAGUAAUGUCUGGGAAACUGCCUGAUGGAGGGGGAUAACUACUGGAAACGGUAGCUAAUACCGCAUAACGUCGCAAGACCAAAGAGGGGGACCCUCGGGCCUCUUGCCAUCGGAUGUGCCCAGAUGGGAUUCGCUUGUUGGUGGGGUAACGGCUCACCAAGGCGACGAUCCCUAGCUGGUCUGAGAGGAUGACCCGCCACACUGGAACUGAGACACGGUCCAGACUCCUACGGGAGGCAGCAGUGGGGAAUAUUGCACAAUGGGCGCAAGCCUGAUGCAGCCAUGCCGCGUGUAUGAAGAAGGCCUUCGGGUUGUAAAGUACUUUCAGCGGGGAGGAAGGGAGUAAAGUUAAUACCUUUGCUCAUUGACGUUACCCGCAGAAGAAGCACCGGCUAACUCCGUG